AGAGUUUGAUCCUGGCUCAGAACGAACGCUGGCGGCAGGCCUAACACAUGCUAGUCGAGCGCACCUUCGGGUGAGCGGCGGACGGGUUAGUAACGCGUGGGAACAUACCCUUUUCUACGGAAUAGCCUCGGGAAACUGAGAGUAAUACCGUAUAAGCCCUUCGGGGGAAAGAUUUAUCGGGAAAGGAUUGGCCCGCGUUAGAUUAGAUAGUUGGUGGGGUAAUGGCCUACCAAGUCUACGAUCUAUAGCUGGUUUUAGAGGAUGAUCAGCAACACUGGGACUGAGACACGGCCCAGACUCCUACGGGAGGCAGCAGUGGGGAAUCUUAGACAAUGGGCGCAAGCCUGAUCUAGCCAUGCCGCGUGUGUGAUGAAGGUCUUAGGAUCGUAAAGCACUUUCGCCAGGGAUGAUAAUGACAGUACCUGGUAAAGAAACCCCGGCUAACUCCGUGCCAGCAGCCGCGGUAAUACGGAGGGGGUUAGCGUUGUUCGGAAUUACUGGGCGUAAAGCGUACGUAGGCGGAUUGGAAAGUUGGGGGUGAAAUCCCAGGGCUCAACCCUGGAACUGCCUCCAAAACUAUCAGUCUAGAGUUCGAGAGAGGUGAGUGGAAUUCCAAGUGUAGAGGUGAAAUUCGUAGAUAUUUGGAGGAACACCAGU
rnacentral:rRNA from 1 species